rnacentral:rRNA from 1 species
GAUGAACGCUGGCGGCGUGCCUAAUACAUGCAAGUCGAGCGAACGGACGAGAAGCUUGCUUUUCUGAUGUUAGCGGCGGACGGGUGAGUAACACGUGGAUAACCUACCUAUAAGACUGGGAUAACUUCGGGAAACCGGAGCUAAUACCGGAUAAUAUUUUGAACCGCAUGGUUCAAAAGUGAAAGACGGUCUUGCUGUCACUUAUAGAUGGAUCCGCGCUGCAUUAGCUAGUUGGUAAGGUAACGGCUUACCAAGGCAACGAUGCAUAGCCGACCUGAGAGGGUGAUCGGCCACACUGGAACUGAGACACGGUCCAGACUCCUACGGGAGGCAGCAGUAGGGAAUCUUCCGCAAUGGGCGAAAGCCUGACGGAGCAACGCCGCGUGAGUGAUGAAGGUCUUCGGAUCGUAAAACUCUGUUAUUAGGGAAGAACAUAUGUGUAAGUAACUGUGCGCAUCUUGACGGUACCUAAUCAGAAAGCCACGGCUAACUACGUG